UGCCCCCGGCCCGGGAUAGCCCAGGGAAACCUGGAUUAAUACCGGAUGAGACGGGACCCGCGAAGGCGGGACCGGGAAAGGCGCUGCGGCGCCGCCGGGGGAUGAGUCUGCGUCCCAUUAGCUAGACGGCGGGGUAACGGCCCACCGUGGCGACGAUGGGUAGCCGGCCUGAGAGGGUGGACGGCCACAUUGGAACUGAGACACGGUCCAGACUCCUACGGGAGGCAGCAGCUAAGAAUCUUCCGCAAUGGGCGGAAAGCCUGACGGAGCGACGCCGCCGUGAACGAAGAAGGCCGUGAGGUUGUAAAGUUCUUUUCGGGAGGGGGAACAACCGUGGCAGGGAAUGGCCGCGGGAUGACGUGAAUCCCGGAAUAAGCCCCGGCUAACUACGUGCCAGCAGCUGC
rnacentral:rRNA from 1 species